UACGGAGGGUGCGAGCGUUGUCCGGAAUCACUGGGCGUAAAGGGCGCGUAGGCGGCCUGAUAAGUAGGGGGUGAAAUCCUGCGGCUUAACCGCAGGGCUGCCUUCUAAACUGUCAGGCUCGAGCACAGUAGAGGCAGGUGGAAUUCCCGGUGUAGCGGUGGAAUACGUAGAGAUCGGGAAGAACAUCAGUGGCGAAGGCGGCCUGCUGGGCUGUUGCUGACGCUGAGGCGCGACAGCGUGGGUAGCAAACAGG
rnacentral:rRNA from 1 species